rnacentral:rRNA from 1 species
GACGAACCGUGCGAACGUUGUGCGGAUUCACUGGGCUUAAAGGGCGCGUAGGCGGCUUGCUAAGUCAGGGGUGAAAUCUUUCGGCUCAACCGGAAAAGUGCUUCUGAUACUGGCGGGCUGGAGGAGGGUAGGGGCAGGUGGAACUUCCGGUGGAGCGGUGAAAUGCGUAGAUAUCGGAAGGAACGCCGGUGGCGAAAGCGACCUGCUGGACCCUCCCUGACGCUGAGGCGCGAAAGCCAGGGGAGCGAACAGG